AGGGCCACUCAGUCCCUCCCCAGCACAAUCCAGUUCUUCUUCUACGGGACCCAGUUCCAUCAAUGAUGGACCCAAGCUACAUUGAGAAGUAUAAGAGAUUAAACUCAUCUACUUUUAUAGGGACAUCUUCUUUUGAAGAGACCGAAUUGGUUAGCUGAAACAGAGAAUACCUUCGCGACUCUUGGGGUGCUUCUCGAACAUAAUGUUAUACUUAUCACCUACAUGCUUGCGGGAGAGGCACUUGGGAACAGUUCCUGAUGGCCUUCAAUGCAGAGUACAACCUCCGACAUUUGAAGGAGAUGAAGUCUGCACACCUAGUCUAAUGUGAGAUGACUA
rnacentral:lncRNA from 1 species